rnacentral:rRNA from 1 species
UAAGGAAUAUUGGUCAAUGGACGCAAGUCUGAACCAGCCAUGCCGCGUGGAGGAUGAAGGUCCUCUGGAUUGUAAACUUCUUUUAUCUGGGACGAAACACUUCUUUUCUAAGAGGCCUGACGGUACCAGAUGACUAAGCACCGGCUAACUCCGUGCCAGCAGCCGCGGUAAUACGGAGGGUGCAAGCGUUAUCCGGAUUCACUGGGUUUAAAGGGUGCGUAGGUGGGUAUGUAAGUCAGUGGUGAAAUCCCCGAGCUUAACUUGGGAACUGCCAUUGAUACUUUAUAUCUUGAAUACCGUAGAGGUAAGCGGAACAUGUCAUGUAGCGGUGAAAUGCUUAGAUAUGACAUGGAACACCAAUUGCGAAGGCAGCUUACUAUGCGGUGAUUGACACUGAGGCACGAAAGCGUGGGUAGCAAACA